rnacentral:lncRNA from 1 species
CCAGGGCCUGAGAUGCCCGACUCGGUCCCAAGGGCUCCACGUGAGACCCUAGGGUUUUAUACAGCAGCAUAAGGAGGCAGAGAACUGUAAAGGUGGACACUGAGUUUACAACUCAUGCUGAAGCAGCGUCAGAAUUAGGAAAAGAAGAGCUGUAUGCAGCACCCAGGGGCCCCUGGAUCACUUUCCUACCAGGUUUUUACAGGAGAGAGUCUGGCUCCACUGCCAGGGAAGGACCAACUCUGAUUGGCAGAGAAGCAUCUUACAGGCCUUUCCUUUAACUUCUUUCAUCUAACUCUUCCUGAUCCUGCAUGGUAACUCAUCUAACUGGUGAUAUAACUGGUGAAGUGGGCGUCUGAACCACCUUCCUCUCCUUAUUCCUCCGUUUCACAUUCCCCCAGGCUGUCAAGUAGCUCAGAAUCCCUUUUGACUACUUUGAGAUUUUAGGUUUUGAUUCCUUCAAAGGGCUUGCCCAGACUGGACA